CACGCGGUAAACGAUGAAUGCUAGGUGUCGGGGAGCAAAGCUCUUCGGUGCCGCCGCAAACGCAUUAAGCAUUCCACCUGGGGAGUACGUUCGCAAGAAUGAAACUCAAAGGAAUUGACG
rnacentral:rRNA from 1 species